UACGUAGGGUGCAAGCGUUGUCCGGAAUUAUUGGGCGUAAAGGGCUCGUAGGCGGUUUGUCGCGUCGGGAGUGAAAACUCAGGGCUUAACCCUGAGUCUGCUUCCGAUACGGGCAGACUAGAGGUAUGCAGGGGAGAAUGGAAUUCCUGGUGUAGCGGUGAAAUGCGCAGAUAUCAGGAGGAACACCGGUGGCGAAGGCGGUUCUCUGGGACGGUACUGACGCUGAGACGCGAAAGCGUGGGGAGCGAACAGG
rnacentral:rRNA from 1 species